rnacentral:rRNA from 1 species
GAUGAACGCUGGCGGCGUGCCUAAUACAUGCAAGUCGAGCGAACGGACGAGAAGCUUGCUUCUCUGAUGUUAGCGGCGGACGGGUGAGUAACACGUGGAUAACCUACCUAUAAGACUGGGAUAACUUCGGGAAACCGUAGCUAAUACCGGAUAAUAUUUUGAACCGCAUGGUUCAAAAGUGAAAGAAGGUCUUGCUGUCACUUAUAGAUGGAUCCGCGCUGCAUUAGCUAGUUGGUAAGGUAACGGCUUACCAAGGCAACGAUGCAUAGCCGACCUGAGAGGGUGAUCGGCCACACUGGAACUGAGACACGGUCCAGACUCCUACGUGAGGCAGCAGUAGGGAAUCUUCCGCAAUGGGCGAAAGCCUGACGGAGCAACGCCGCGUGAGUGAUGAAGGUCUUCGGAUCGUAAAACUCCGUUAUUAGGGAAGAACAUAUGUGUAAGUAACUGUGCACAUCUUGACGGUACCUAAUCAGAAAGCCACGGCUAACUACGUG